UACGUAGGGGGCUAGCGUUGUCCGGAAUCAUUGGGCGUAAAGCGCGUGUAGGCGGCCCAGUAAGUCCGCUGUGAAAGUCCAGGGCUCAACCCUGGGAUGCCGGUGGAUACUGUCGGGCUCGAGUCCGGAAGAGGCGAGUGGAAUUCCUGGUGUAGCGGUGAAAUGCGCAGAUAUCAGGAGGAACACCAAUGGCGAAGGCAGCUCGCUGGGACGUGACUGACGCUGAGACGCGAAAGCGUGGGGAGCGAACAGG
rnacentral:rRNA from 1 species